CCAAAAGAACAUUUACAAUUAGUUCUGACUGUUUUUAAUUUCAUUUCUUCAGACCAAAUCCCGUAUACAAUUGUACCAACUCUGAAGAUGAGCAGCCUCCAAAAAAAAAGGUUUCCCCAGGCCCCUCGAGUGAAAAUACCAGACCCCACCACUCUGCAGUCUGCCCCCCCUGUGCACUGAUAGCAACCGUCAUAGUGCCCCGCCCAGCUACCGGCACCUUUCGCCGGUAGCUCCGGCCCAACACACAAACUGACACCGCUAUGCGAUCUCCCCGGCCUGUAGAGUCUGCUUUUAAUGCCUUGGUAUCGAUGAUUCCAGAGAGUCUGUG